GAACAUGUAAGAAGAAAAAAGGGCUCUUUCAGAGCGUCGGGCUGGGUCCCCCAGGGGCGGAGGAGCCAGCGUGCGCACGUGUGCCAGGCUGCUGGCAGGAGCCCCAGGAAAGCGGAGAAACUAGCUACAGAGAAAGGAGCAGCACAGCGAACCCGCGGAAGAACGCGCUCCGUCCUGAGCCCCCGCCCUGACGAGAGGGGCCGCACCCCCUCGGGACCCGGAAGGAGGAUCUGCCCUCGAGGGUUAGCUCCUGAGGACCUCCUCAAACACACAGCCCAGCGGUGGGAUGCGGCUGGAGAAAGGACCACAGAGAGAACAUGCGAGACUCGGCACUGACCCCCGGAAAGGAUGGGGACACGCUCUCACGCUGAUGUGCCCACGUGCAUGCGUGCAUACACAGGGACGCACCACUGAUCCACACGGCACGGCCCUCCUGCAGGCUUCCAGGUGGGGAAGGGGCUGCUCUGGAAGGUCCGCUGGGGGGCCCACACCCACAGCGCCCUCUUACCGCGGCUGUGGCGUCUGGGGUGGGAAGGGUGGUUGGCCCCCCGGAGAAGCGGCUGUAGCGGGCGUUCUUGCCCGAGCUCAUGCUCUAGAGAGCCAUCUAGGGUCCUCGGGCUGUGUCUCCUGCGGGGGGGGGGGAGUGCAAGGGACGGCUUUAGAGAUGGUGUCCCUGGCCCGACAGCUGGCCUGCUCUGGCCAGUCCGCCACGGGCACACCGUGGCCUCUCUGCCACCGGGCCAGGCAGGGGCGGGUCCACAUGGGCAAAGUCCCUUCCCUUCCUUCCCCUCCCAGGUGCGUACAGGCCCAAGGAAGGGAUGAGGCACUGGGUGCAGGCAGGCAGCGGGCACUCAGCUUUACCUUCCUUCCAGGCCUAGUCUUCUAGAAAAGCCACCAGCUUGGCCACAGAGGUGGAGAGCCCCCCCCCCCCCCCCCCCCGCCGCUCUGUCUGAGGGCAAGCGUUCCUGGGGCCAAGCCUGGGCCAUGGUGUGGCACACAGGGUGGGAUCAAGCCAUAUGCCUGUUUCCUGCCAGGGUAGGUGUGGUCGGGCCCUGGAGAGCCUCAGUCUGCAGUACGGGAGGACGCUGGCCACGCCCCAGAGAACCUGUUGGUGACAUACCUGGGGCCCAACACUCAGAGCCUCAUCACACAGAUGAAGCCAUUUUUGGGCAGGGGGAGAUGAGAGCCCUGACUCCUGACCUGGUGCAGGUCACCUACUCUGGAAACAGGGGAUACCCUCUCACUCCCCAGCUGUUGACUCGGGACUCGUGGGCUGAGGUGGCGGGGAGAAGGCACUAUGGGAAUCAUCCUGGGCUUCCAAGAACCGCCCCCCCCACACACCCAAAGAGGGGCCUGGCUGGGCCCUAGGAGCACUGGCUACUAGAGAGAAGGGACCAGCCAGCCGCCUGGAUCAUAGAUAGCCUGGGGAGAGCUGCUCCAUUGCCAGAACAGGGCCUGCCUUCCCAGGGGCCCUCCCAGUGCCAGGGUCUUCUGCAAUAGCCCCAAGUCAGCUGUAGCCACAAGGCCCCAGCUUCAAGCCAGGCUGUCCACGGGGAGGAAGACCACACAGCCAGGACUGCUGCCACCUGGAACGCAUGCGCUCUCUACCCCAGGAGACCCCUGAGCAGCCCCUGGAUGCCACACCACGGGCUCAUCACCCGCGGCCCAGCCCAGCCAUCAGAGCCAGUGCCUUAGCAGAGCCCAGGGGAGGGACCCAAGGAUUCUAUCUCUUAAAGACCAAAGACCCCAGAUCCUGGUGGAGACGGCUCUGCCUGCCUCAGCUGAUGGCUUCGGACGAGCUGUAGACUCAGCCUGGGGGAGUCUCCUCUCUACGACUCCUGGAGAGCUUCCUGGAGGAAGGGGCUGGCCAGAUCCAGAGCAGGGAGAGAGCAUUCUGGGAAAAGGUGGUAUUUGUCCUCCUAUCUCAGCACCUAGCUGCAGGGGCCACUUUUACCUUUCACCAGACAGCCUGGGACAUGCUUCUCAUCUGUGUCCCUGCAGCCAGAAUUGGGCCAGACCCUGAGUUGGAGGGAGGGUGUGGGCAGGUAAAAGUGGCCCCUAUAACCCACCCUGGGCCGACCCCCACCCAUGAGUCUAAACUUGUGGAGACAGGUCCUGGGCCUCUGCUCAAGAGCCCAGUGGCCGGCAGUGCCUCGGAGCCCAGGCUACAGCUCCAGGCCGCCCUGGCUGUUGCUCGUCACGUCCCGUGUGGUUUCUGUCUCCCUGCCUUCCUCUUUCUUGCUUCCCUGCAGAAGCUGGGGAGUGUACACAAAGUUGCAGGCCAGAGCCUGGCCUGGACAUGUGCCAGCCCGCUCCACUGUCCACCCCACGCCCUUCCAGCCCAUGCUGGGGCACCCCCACUCCUUCUGGCACACCCUUUCAGUCCCAGUUCUGCAAGGCUGCUCCUUCUGACAGGUGCUCAUGGGGCUGGUUCACCCCCCAACUGGACUUCCACACAGCAUGCCUCCCCCGCUGGGGGCAGGCAAGUACCAGGUCUGCAAGUGACAUUAGCACCAGCCCCCAGGGCCCAUUUCCCCCUUUGUCUGCCCCACCUGACUCCAUGCUCCUCCAGGGAGCAACCAAAUGCCUUAUGCCGAAGGGCCAGAGCAGAGCACAGAGGACGCCGGGGCGGGGGGCAUCUGUUGGAAGUGGGGGGGUUGGUGGGCCCCUCUACGAGGGUACCUCCUGCAUAACCCAGCCGGAGGAGCUGGUGAAGUCCUAGGUGCCCACCCAACAGCACGGUCAGGCCGGUGGGGACCCAGGUUCAGAGCAAGUUAUGCCCUGCUGACACUCCCAAGGCUAGACACAUGCUGGCAUUUCCCUUACACGCUUACGAAGGUCCCUCCAAGUGUUCUUUAUGGAGAUAGAACAGCAUAACGGUCAAGGCCAGAGUGCUGAACUCAGACCUGGGUUCAAAUCCUGCCUCUGCCCCAAAACAGCUGCGUGAUUUGGGGCAAAGCUGCUCAACCUCCUGGCUUUCAAUUUCUCACCCAUGAAAUGGAGUGGACAUGCCCACACCUGACAGGAACCAGGAGAUAUGGCUCUUGAGGCAACAGUCAAGGCUCCGCCAAUAGCAGCCCCUCUCUGAGAGCAGAAAAUGGAGCUGAGAAGCCAUCCCAGGACUUAUGGCCUGUAAGAGGCCACACUGGGGCCGACUGAAGCCCUGUUCUUCCUGCUUCCUCUGUUCUGCCGGGAGAUCGAGGAGCCCACCAUGCACUGUAGUCAACCCCAGGCCAAGCUGAGCAAGGCGGCAGCCAAACCACAGCGUCCAGAUUGCCUGGGGCCACCCAGCCAGCGCAGGCCCUUCAACUACACCUCUUGUAUUUCCCAAAUUGUGGGUUCCCGAUCCUGCGGCCAGGUUCACACCCACUGUGGGCCAGUCCCCAUGCUGGAGAAGGGGCGCAUGCUGACGGCGAAACGUGAGUCUGACCUGGAGAAGCUACGGGGCCUGGGAGGAGAGACAGAGGCUCAGGAGUACUAGUAAGCCCCAUUCAACCUGUCAAAGGCACUUUUCUGUGGGUUCUUGUCCCAGCUAAGUCAAUACUUCAGACCCUGAUCUGUUCCAUUCAUUUCUAGAAAUACUGUGACACACAGCCACAGUGGGUGUUACUCCACAGGGAUCCCUCAGGAAGGAGGACCUCCCCUCCUUCUCAGCCAGUUACCUCCCUCAUCCAGGCUGCCCAUACCCCUGCUUCCCCUCAGAGGGAGGUUCUGGCUACUGGGGAAUAGUGCAGCGAUGCCCCGUAGGAACCAUGAGACACAGGGACUGGGGAUUCCAUGGAACGGGAAUGCCCAGAGUAGCUCGGGUAGGGAUUUAUGACAGACAGGUAGUGUCUGCUACACAGGCCUUCAGGGAAGGGGUGUGGGAAAGGAGAGGCCCAAAGAGAAGGAAUGAGGAAGAGAGAAGCCACAUGCUUGGCAAAGGCCAGGAGGUGGGCAGCCCCCAGGAGAGGGGCCCUGUGUGUGCAUGGGGGGGGGGUCUGUGGGAUGGGGAAAAGGGUGGACAGUGUGGGCAGCCCAGAGCUCUAGGCUAGGGAGGCAGCCAAGGAGGGUGGAAUCUCAGCCCUACUGUCCAGUCCUGUCCCUGCCAAAGCAGGGGGGAAUCCAGCAGAACUGCAGACUCAGCCCCAGCUGAAUGCCCUGGCCUGGUCCAAGACAACCAGCACCAGACACGGUGAGGGGUGGGAGCCUCAUCUCCAAACCAACUCGCUCCCACCCCACUCUCCUCUACACACAGGCCAGCCUCCUCACGCUCUCCUGCUUCCUCACUGAACCCCAGUCCUUCCUCCACACACAACCAGAGGCUCUUUACUAGACUUGGAUCCGAAGCUGGCUCUCCUGUGUACAAUCCCUGCCACCCUGCACCCUGGUCUGGCCUCCCAGACUCGCCUCUCACCCCUCUGCCAGCACUCACUGGCGCACCAAGCCCUCUCUCGCGCCGGGCCUUUGCACACCUUGCUCCCUCUGCCAGGCAAGCUUUUCCAGCAACUUCCCAAGACAGGCUGCUCGCUGGAGGCACCUCUCCCUUCACCAAGCCACUCAGGAGCGCCCAGCACUCCUUCUCAGCGUCCUGUUUCUUUCAUAGCACGCACCACAACUCCUCAGGAUUUUGUGUGUACUGUCAAUCCCUCUCCGCUCUGGAUC